GGAGUGGUCUGCUUCUUCCCAUCCACUCGCCAUGGUAAGAGACGAGGGAUUAGAAAGAGUGACACACAAGGAACACGAGUACUCAAACCACUUGUAGGGUACCACAACCUAGGUGCACUAAAUGCACUAUGACAUCACUAAGGUUCUUUGCGGUGCGGUUGUCACCACAAGAACCAAAGAAAUGCUACGAUCGAUAUAGGUACAAGCAUACAAGAGUUUAAGCACGAAGAACCAAAAAGGCGGGAAAAGACACGGGAUUCACCUUCCUUUGAUCCGCUCGCCAUAGUAACGACGGGAAUCGCGGGAUUGGAAACAAAACAUCAAACAAGCAAAAGGGGCUUAAUCCCCAUCUUACUGGAUCGACGGGAUUGAGAACAAGAGAGAAGAAGAAUGGAGUCCAUACUCUUUCGACCAACUCAUCAUGGAACAACGACGGUUGGAUAAAAGGAAUACGACCCCACGAUCCCAACCCACUCGUAGGGCACCAUGACUGUGCAUCUAAAUCAGCACAAGGCUAUUCCUAAGGCCCAUAGCGAUGUGGUUGUCACCGCUAGGUCCGAGGGAAUGCUAUAGUCGAAGUGGUACAAGCAUACGAGGUGGUUAGGAUAAACACGGGAGAAAUGGGGUAAAGCCCAAUGGCCAUGGCAAGGUGGACUCGCGGCCAUGAGCUUCACCUAACGAGUUUCUCCGAUAGUUCUACGAAGGUUGUCCCCUAAUUCGUAUCCCACUAGACUAGGUCAUUUAGGUCUCGAGUGUGCGGGUAAGAACCGCGUCGUUAACGACAUCGAGUCCACGAUGACCACGUCCGAGGGACGGAAAUAGGAGCUAACGACCGUAGCGCAACGAAGUCAACUAAUCACAGGGAAUGAGUUACGCUCGGCAUCGCGAUCACGGCGGGACGAACCCACGAUCGAAAUGAUCGAACGCUCUACCAUUUUCCCUAACCGGCUCGAAGGCUCGGUCCUCAGGCAUGCAAAUAACAAAAGAAGGAACAACGGAAAUACGAGAGAAGGGACAUGCUCGGCAUUACGGCCAUGGCGAGACGAACUCGCGAUCGCAACAUUCAAACACGUCACUCUCUCAACCGGCUCGACGGCACGGUCCACAACGACAAGAACAAAAGCACAAAUUGCAACACUAACAAGACGACGACUCGGAGUAGCACAUUUCCAUAGCGACCAAAAGAGAUAGAGUAGACCGGCGCGAAGGCACGGCACAGGCAAAGAUAUAAUAGAGACAGAUCAAGCAUUAAACGAGAUCGGAGAUGACUGAUCAAGUAUCACCGGUAUACAAAGGUAUAAGAAAGAAGGACAAGGGUUUUGUCGACGUCACGAAGGGCAUCGACAUAGUUCAAGGUUCGACCUUGCUGGUGCCGAGGAUGGGCGAGGCUUGUCGCAGAGCGCCCAGGUGAACUUGGCUAGCUGCAACAUGUCCUGGACCACUGUGGUUUGCUACUGGAGGCCGAAGUUGGGCAUGACAGCACGAUCCAAGAGAAACCGCGACUCUAGCAAAACGAUAUAGCGAAGCCACCGCUCCCCUGCAACAGUGAAGGUUCACAGCGCGAAGGCCGGUCUCAGUCUGGAACGCGACAGAAGGGAAAAAGAAGGGGACUUAGGCACUGGUGGCUCAUCGGCGGCAGAGAAGAGCUUCGCGUGGGGUGGUGCUGCCGCUGCUGCACGUUCAGCUUGGUGGAGGGGGUGUUCGCGAUCACCACGGCGAGGUGAGCACGACUUCACGGACGGUGCAGGGUCCCUGAGCUUGGCGUCACGACUGCUCGUUCACGUCCCAUGGCUUGGCGCGGAGGACGUCGCGGCAAGGUGGGGCGCUGGGCGUGAAGGCGAGGGACAGGGUGCGUCGAGGUCGCCGUGCGAGGGUGGCACCGUUGGCGCGGCUGAUGCCGAGGUGCGCGCGCGGCUCGGCCGGGGCUCCCUGGACUCGUUCCAGAGGAGGUCGCGGCGUCGUGGCUCGGAGCAGAGGCACGACCGCGGCGUCGCGACGAGGUUGGGGCUGCGGUGGCGAGGACGACAUGGAGGCGAUGUCGCAGUGCUUGGGCUCGAAGGCGAGGACGGGGCCGUGGACGACGUCGCGUGCAGCUCGGCGUUGCGGCGGCUCGGCGUUGGCGUCGUGAACGCCGGUGGAGCAGAGGUGGUCGGGGUCCCCGCGCUCGGCGAGGGCGAGGCCGACGCAGCGUGGCUCGAUGGAGCACCGGGCGGCGUCGUGACGAGGAGGAGCUCGCGGUGCGGUGGUCGAUGGAGAGCUUUGUCGGGGGUCGCAGUUCGCGGACAGAGCGGCGUCCGCGGCAAGCUCGGAGCCGCGCUCGGCUCGGCGUCGCGGCGGCUCGGCAGCGGAUGCCGGGGACGGGGCUCGGCGCGGCCGGCGUCGGGGCUCGACGUCGGGGCAGGGGCUUCGAGGUGCUUGGCUCGGUGGACGGCAGCAGCUGCGCGAGGCCAGGAAUGGAGCAGAGGGCGGCGGCGGCCAUGGCUUUUAUAGCGCGGUGCCCUAGGGUUCCAGAGGCAGUGCGUCCAUCCUCGGCGUCCGUGCCGCGAAUGGGACACGCGGCGCACAUCGCGGGUGCGCGCAGUACAGAGCUAGAGGGCGCGGGUGUUUGGGAGCUGAGGCAGGCGCGAGCGCAGGUUCGGCUCUGCCUUGGGCGACGGCGGCGCUGCUCUGGGCAGGAGUCGCCCCCUAGGGUUGGCCAUGGAGCCGGGGGGCGCUGGCUGGGCCUUGGGCCGGGAGGCCAGCUGGGUCGCGCGCGCGGGUUGGGUCGGGGUAAGUGUUGCGCGUGUGCGUGGGCCAAGCGGGGCGCUUGCGCAGCUGGGCCAAGGAGAGGGGGCAGGGGGGGUGCUGGGCUUUUGCCUGCUUGCGUAUGGGCCAAAAUAGGAGGCAGGGAGCUAGCUUGGUCCAAGAGAAAGAAAAGGAGUUUCCAAUUCCUUUUGGAAACAAAUGAGAUGGAGGUUCUUUCCUAUUUGCUAAAAUGAUUGGGAGAGAAAGGAAAAAGAAAUUGAGAUGAGUUGUCACGAAUUUAAUAUGAUUUACCAGUGGAGAUCUGAAAUGAGAUCAACAAGGAAGGCGGUUUGAGAAGGGAAUUUGGAAAAGAGUUCAAAAUGGAUUAAAGGAGUUUGAGACGUACUCCAAUGAAAAGAUUGAGAAAGGAUUUGCUUCGCCUUGGAGAUAGGCUCAACAGAGAUAUGGGUUUGGGCACUCCAAAAGGAACUUAAAACCCUAAACAAGACCCAACUCAAGACGACUCACGGAUAAGAGCACCCAUCUACAAACAAAUCUAUAUGUAUGCCACGAUUUGUUAGCGGGUUAGGAUCGAGUUUGACCUAAAUACUAUAUGAUUCACACGAUUACAGGAAAAAUUUUAAAAAUCUCGUAUUUUUGAUUUUCGUAAAAAUCUGGGAUGUUACAGUCCACCCACCUUACAGGAAUCUCGUCCCCGAGAUUUAGGCGUUGCUCGGUCGGUGAAGAGACGAGGGUGUCGUUCUCAAAGCCUUUCUUACUUCUGAGUUGUUUCACUUUCAAUGUGAUCGCUCCACAAUCCUUUGCCAAAAUAGGAGUGAGUCAUGUUUUGGGUGUAUCCAGGGCUCAGUCACGGGUGUUGGGUGUCCAAAUUCUUACAGCAAGGCGAUGGGUAUCCAAGAAUUGCAUCGGGUUUAUGUACAUCUGGCCCUUGAAGGUGAGACUAUUGUUAGGCUUAAACGUAGCUAGGGUUGUUGGCUUUCACCAGCUGUUUUUCAUGCAUCACCUUUGCAAAAAGCUUUUGAAGGGAAGAUUUUCUAGAAAACAGGUCUCAUAAACGGAGUGAAAGCGGUUUCACAAGGUCAAGUUUUUUUUUUUAAAAAAUUUUUUUUUAGACUUCAAAAUGAAGAGAGCCUUUGAAGAGGGUUCAAAUCAAUGCAAGUUUUGAAAACCAACUUUUCUGAAGGUUUUGCUAUAAAAGAUUUUAAAUCAAGAGAUUUUUUUUAAAUUCUUUUAUUUUAUUAUUAUUAUUUUCUUUAAAACAAGGUAUUGCUCCCUUUUUAUUUGAGUCAAACAAAACUAGUUUUGAAAAUGACUAGAAAUCAUUUCUCAUUUUGAAAGGUAAAGUUUUAACAACAAUAGCAUUUUCUUUUAAAACUUGUAAGUUCAUUUUGUUUUUGCUAAAUUUUUGGAAGGUCGCAAACAAAAAUCUUUUCGCAAUGGUUUUUGUUUAAUAAAUCACUGGCAAUUCCUUUUUCCUUUAAAACCAGGUUGACUUUUGAAAGGAAUUUGGCUCUUGAGAUGAAAUCAAAGGCCUUUAAAACAAAAUUGAGCCAAAGAUACUUUGAUUUAAAAACCACUUUGUUGAGCGAAAAUCAAAACUUUUGUUUUUCUGAAGCGAUUUUGUCAUACCUUUUGCAAGAUGACUUGUUUUAAACCGUUUCAUAAAUAGCUUUUGAAUAAAAUUGAGUUGAGAAAGGAGUUUAAAAUUGCUUUUAUUUGUGAAAAUGGAAGAUUUUGAGAGAGUUUUGAAACACUUUUCCAUUGGAAAUAUAGAUGCUUUUGUUAAAGAGGGGAUAUUUUAACCAAAAGGAGAGAAAAAUUUUCAACCAAAGGGGGCAAUUUUGAAGACAAGUUUAGUUGGAAACCAAAAACAGUUUUGAAAUAGGUGGGCAAGACAUGAUGCAUCAGCUUUACUCCCUUUUUCAGCUCUGUUAGCGAGGGUCACCUAUCUAGUCUCGGACGGUCUUAGGUUUAGCCGACUAGGUUGGACGGGACCCAGAGUCUUUCUCGCAUAAAACAGUUCAAUGGCAUACACUCAAACAACAAGAAGCGGAAGAAGCGCAAGAACAUAAGAUCCAAGCACUCAAACAGCAUUACAACUCCUAAUGCAUAGUGUUGACUUGAGGCGACUCUCAAGCCUUCAAAGUCUCACACGACUAUCGAUCUAGCGUGGGCGGGUAUGGGAAAAGUUUUCCAACGGUCCACUUUAUGAAACAGGGAGGUCAGUUAGCAGCAGAAUUCAAGGCGGAGGGGGAAAACAAGUGUUAGCAUCUAUAACCCUACAAAAGAUAGAAUGUUUGGCUUCUAAACUAGUUUUUGGUACUAAUGGUCUCGUCCUAGGGUCAAGUAUGGCUCUGAUACCAACUGAAACGACCUAGAUUUUUCCAAAAAGGGAAAAAUCCACAGAUUCGAAUUAUAAUGUGAUAAUUCAAAAAUUGAACCAUCUCAUUAUCAUAUAUCAGUCGUUAUCAUAGUCAUACAUCGUGAGAAACAAAAUUACAACACAUUUACUUUACAACUCUUGGUCAACAAGCCUAUUACAUCGUUUUUCUAGCGGAAACACACACGGGUCUCUAUCAGAGUCGAUGUAGCGCGUCAGCGGUGAAGGCUCCUCCUUCACGGGAAAUCAUCAGAGUCGGCGUAGUUUAUCAGCGGGCGUAGCCUUCAUCUCCGAACCAAACUUGAGCGCAGGAACGAGACCACCUAAUCCUUCUAUUCUCUGUAGUCAUCGUCAUGGACCAUGUUCAAAACCUGCUAAACAAUUUUCAGUACGAUUUGUACUGGCCACUGGCUCCCACCCUAUGCUUUUGCGUAAGCUUUGUGGCAAGUGGAAUGCAGAGGGUAGAUCAAGAGGCCUAUAUAUGGCUGUAGUUUUUCCUAUGCAAGUUCAUCAAUAUUUUAUAAUAAUAAUUCAUCAAGUUUUAAUCCAUCUCAACCACACAUCCAUCCAUCCAUCCAUCCCAUCCCGGACAUCUCACCACACUCUCACUCUCUAGGCGGCAAGUACGACUCCCGCUCGUGCCUUGCCUCAACGGCCAACGCCGGAUCCCACACAAACCCAGGGGAAGGUAGAAAGGACUCCUCUCUCUAGUCAAGUGAAGCUGUACUUAGGAAAGGUCCAUAGCCGACGAGUCGGCAUAUGUAUCGAUCGAUCAACCAAAACUCUGCAGAGGUUUGCACUAACCACAAGAUCACCAUCAUCGACGAAGGCCCUCGUCUAGGCUGAUUCCGGGCUGCCUUCCAACUAAACACGAUGCCACCCUACCACUCAGAACUGGGACCAUACCGGAGUACCACCGGUACGCUGAGACUGUGAGGCGUAGUACCGGGCCCCAAAGGUCACUACGCUGUCUUAGGAGGGUGUGGGUCCUCAUGCCCGUACCUCCCUACACUAUCCGCUAACAACCUAGUAGUAGUGGCACCGCCCUAGCUGGUCGUACAUCCGUCUCCUUCCCAUAAGAGCGAGUGGGGUGCAAGGCUUCCUAAGACCCGGUCCACCGAACAUAUCAGUCCUUAGGGUGACCAAACAGGAUAUCUUCACGAGGGGCCAACCGAUGCCCGGCUCGACGGGACAUCCGAUUACCCCGUGCUAACAAGCACCUCCCAUCCCGGCGCUUCGUCCCACGAAGACACUCCACUCCGGGACCUCUCCCUGUCACAUGUACCCGCCACAGGUAUCUCUCAUGGAGGACGCCCAGGUAGCGUCCUCCGGCAAGACUUGUCCCAAGACUCGUCGUAGAUCCUGCUCGGUCGACUCAACCCUCACCACACACCCAAGACACACGCCAAGAUCUCCCCAAUUCCAUUACCAUCUCAUUAUCCAGUUAUCGGCACCUCGUGCCUUAUCCACUCACAUCCAAUCUCCCACAUUGCAUCACAUCACAGAUAUAAUGCGUAGCAGAAGCAGUAGCAAGUAGUAUGCAGCUUCUAACCUAACAGCGGGUGUGCAAGGGUUAUAGGUUGCAACAAGGCAAUGGCUCACAAGCAUUUCUAUCAUGCAACCUAUCUCAUUUCAUUUGCAUAAAAGUAAAGCACUAGCAUCUAUAAUAUUGCUUGUCUAAUAGGAUUCUACGAGGUUGGGUGGGACGUGGCACCUGUCGAGUGACAUCUCCAAGAUCCUCAGUUCACUUGUAGUUGUACUCAUCCAAGAUCCUCCUUUCCGCAUGUUCUUCCUUCAACUGGUCCUGGUCCAAUCAACGCUAACCUCGAAGCGACUACCUCGAAAGCGACAAACAAGGCGAAACAAUCAAACCACUAGACCUCGAAAGACUACGAAAAGAGACGACAUAACACUGAGGAACAACUACACUAAAAGAGCAACGAAAGGAAAACGGCUUAGCCCUCUCGGCGGAUGUCCGAUCUCUGGGCUAAAAGAAUUGGGAAUGGUUGUUCACUAAGUACAAGCUGGAGUCUUAGCCUAGCCGGUACUUCCUGGGUCGACUAAGUCAACCUAUACGACUUUAAUAAUUGGCUUAGACCCUAACUUAUCAUAAGCAAACACCAUAGCUAGUGGCUCUUCGAUCCAAGCGUCACGGAGAUCGACAGGAAUCGAAAAGACUAUGAGCACGUGAAGUUCCGGUCUCUCUCAAUGCAUACGCCAUUGUAGUUGGCGAGAGCCAAGAGAGGGUGGAACAAGGAGAGAAGAAAAGGGGAGUGGUCUGCUUCUUCCCAUCCACUCGCCAUGGUAAGAGACGAGGGAUUAGAAAGAGUGACACACAAGGAACACGAGUACUCAAACCACUUGUAGGGUACCACAACCUAGGUGCACUAAAUGCACUAUGACAUCACUAAGGUUCUUUGCGGUGCGGUUGUCACCACAAGAACCAAAGAAAUGCUACGAUCGAUAUAGGUACAAGCAUACAAGAGUUUAAGCACGAAGAACCAAAAAGGCGGGAAAAGACACGGGAUUCACCUUCCUUUGAUCCGCUCGCCAUAGUAACGACGGGAAUCGCGGGAUUGGAAACAAAACAUCAAACAAGCAAAAGGGGCUUAAUCCCCAUCUUACUGGAUCGACGGGAUUGAGAACAAGAGAGAAGAAGAAUGGAGUCCAUACUCUUUCGACCAACUCAUCAUGGAACAACGACGGUUGGAUAAAAGGAAUACGACCCCACGAUCCCAACCCACUCGUAGGGCACCAUGACUGUGCAUCUAAAUCAGCACAAGGCUAUUCCUAAGGCCCAUAGCGAUGUGGUUGUCACCGCUAGGUCCGAGGGAAUGCUAUAGUCGAAGUGGUACAAGCAUACGAGGUGGUUAGGAUAAACACGGGAGAAAUGGGGUAAAGCCCAAUGGCCAUGGCAAGGUGGACUCGCGGCCAUGAGCUUCACCUAACGAGUUUCUCCGAUAGUUCUACGAAGGUUGUCCCCUAAUUCGUAUCCCACUAGACUAGGUCAUUUAGGUCUCGAGUGUGCGGGUAAGAACCGCGUCGUUAACGACAUCGAGUCCACGAUGACCACGUCCGAGGGACGGAAAUAGGAGCUAACGACCG
rnacentral:lncRNA from 1 species